AACGAACGCUGGCGGCAGGCCUAACACAUGCAAGUCGAGCGCCCCGCAAGGGGAGCGGUGGACGGGUGAGUAACGCGUGGGAACGCACCCUUUGGUUCGGAAUAGCCCUGGGAAACUGGGAGUAAUACCGGAUACGGUCGAGAGACGAAAGAUUUAUCGCCGAAGGAUCGGCCCGCGUUGGAUUAGGUAGUUGGUGGGGUAAUGGCCUACCAAGCCGACGAUCCAUAGCGGGUUUGAGAGGAUGAUCAGCCACACUGGGACUGAGACACGGCCCAGACUCCUACGGGAGGCAGCAGUGGGGAAUCUUAGACAAUGGGCGCAAGCCUGAUCUAGCCAUGCCGCGUGAGCGAUGAAGGCCUUAGGGUUGUAAAGCUCUUUCGGGGGGGAAGAUAAUGACUGUACCCCCAGAAGAAGCCCCGGCUAACUCCGUGCCAGCCGCCGCCGUAA
rnacentral:rRNA from 1 species